UACGGAGGGGCUAGCGUUGUUCGGAAUUACUGGGCGUAAAGCGCACGUAGGCGGCUUUGUAAGUUAGAGGUGAAAGCCCGGGGCAUCAACUCCGGAAUUGCCUUUAAGAGCUGCAUCGCUAGAAUUGUGGAGAGGUAAGUGGAAUUCCGAGUGUAGAGGUGAAAUUCGUAGAUAUUGGAAGAACACCAGUGGCGAAGGCGGACUUACUGGACACAUAUUGACGCUGAGGUGGCGAAAGCGUGGGGAGCAAACAGG
rnacentral:rRNA from 1 species